rnacentral:rRNA from 1 species
UCCUACGGGAGGCAGCAGUGGGGAAUUUUGGACAAUGGGCGCAAGCCUGAUCCAGCAAUGCCGCGUGCAGGAAGAAGGCCUUCGGGUUGUAAACUGCUUUUGUCAGGGAAGAAAUCCUCUGGGUUAAUACCUCGGGGGGAUGACGGUACCUGAAGAAUAAGCACCGGCUAACUACGUGCCAGCAGCCGCGGUAAUACGUAGGGUGCGAGCGUUAAUCGGAAUUACUGGGCGUAAAGCGUGCGCAGGCGGCUUUGCAAGACAGAUGUGAAAUCCCCGGGCUCAACCUGGGAACUGCAUUUGUGACUGCAAGGCUAGAGUACGGUAGAGGGGGAUGGAAUUCCGCGUGUAGCAGUGAAAUGCGUAGAUAUGCGGAGGAACACCAAUGGCGAAGGCAAUCCCCUGGACCUGUACUGACGCUCAUGCACGAAAGCGUGGGGAGCAAACAGGAUUAGAUACCCUGGUAGUCCACGCCCUAAACGAUGUCAACUGGUUGUUGGACGGCUUGCUGUUCAGUAACGAAGCUAACGCGUGAAGUGACCGCCU